UCGCGGAUCAGCAUGCCGCGGUGAAUACGUUCCCUGGCCUUGUACACACCGCCCGUCACACCAUGGGAGCCGGUAAUACCCGAAGUCAGUAGCCUAACCGCAAGGGGGGGCGCUGCCGAAGGUAGGAUUGGCGACUGGGGUGAAGUCGUAACAAGGUAGC
rnacentral:rRNA from 1 species